AUGGCAGCGGACAAACGCGAUUGCUUCGGUUCCAGCCGGGUUACAUCAGUUCUGUCUCUGCUCUGGCCAGAAUCGAUGCUUUUCAUGAAUGUUGUGGAUAAACUGGAUGCUUGUGAACUUAUUUCGGAGAUGUAUUGCAUAUUUGCAUUGCUUGCAAUGGAUAAAUUUGAGGAAGAUAAGUGCACAAUGGAGGUUAAGAUUUGCAUAGCAUCUGUAAUUUAUUUCAGGCAUGCAUUGCAUUGUCUACCAUUGAUCAUACGCUGUGUAGUUUGUUUAUUUGUUAGUGCGUUGGCGAGCCUGCCAUGUAUUUUCUUCAAACAUUUAUUGCUGGUAUGUUAUAAUCAAAUGUUGAAAUAUGCUCUCUUUUUUAUUGCUGGAAUGUUAUAUUUAUGUGCUCAAAUGUGUUAUUUAUAUGUUAUAUUUAAGUGA
rnacentral:rRNA from 1 species